AAGGACCCAUUUCUUUCGAAUUUGUUUAGGAAAAAAGUUUAACGAGUUGAGAAAGUGGAAGAGAAAUUCGAUGUUGAUCGAGUGUUUUAUCACAUUAGUGAAAAUGGUUUGAAAUGAUAUGAGGUGCUUAUUAAAGAAAAAAAGUUUAGUGAGAUUUUGAAAAAUGUACUUGAUGUUGAUCAAAUUCCUUUUAUCUUAGUAUUUUUGAAUGAUUAAUUUUAAAGGUCAUUUUGUCUUUUUGGAUUAACAAUUAUGCAUGAACUAAAAGUACAAUAAAAUAAACUAAAAAAUAAAGCAAUAAAAAGGUAAAAAAAUAAUAAAAGAG
rnacentral:lncRNA from 1 species